GAUGAACGCUGGCGGCGUGCCUAACACAUGCAAGUCGAGCGAUUUACUUCGGUAAAGAGCGGCGGACGGGUGAGUAACGCGUGGGUAACCUGCCCUGUACACACGGAUAACAUACCGAAAGGUAUGCUAAUACGAGAUAAUAUGCUUUUAUCGCAUGGUAGAAGUAUCAAAGCUCCGGCGGUACAGGAUGGACCCGCGUCUGAUUAGCUAGUUGGUAAGGUAACGGCUUACCAAGGCGACGAUCAGUAGCCGACCUGAGAGGGUGAUCGGCCACAUUGGAACUGAGACACGGUCCAAACUCCUACGGGAGGCAGCAGUGGGGAAUAUUGCACAAUGGGCGAAAGCCUGAUGCAGCAACGCCGCGUGAGCGAUGAAGGCCUUCGGGUCGUAAAGCUCUGUCCUCAAGGAAGAUAAUGACGGUACUUGAGGAGGAAGCCCCGGCUAACUACGUGCCAGCAGCCGCGGUAA
rnacentral:rRNA from 1 species